GUAGUCCACGCCGUAAACGAUGGAUACUAGCUGUUCGGAGCAAUCUGAGUGGCUAAGCGAAAGUGAUAAGUAUCCCACCUGGGGAGUACGUUCGCAAGAAUGAAACUCAAAGGAAUUGACGGGGGCCCGCACAAGCGGUGGAGCAUGUGGUUUAAUUCGAUGAUACGCGAGGAACCUUACCAAGGCUUAAAUGGGAAACGACAGGUUUGGAAACAGACUUUUCUUCGGACGUUUUUCAAGGUGCUGCAUGGUUGUCGUCAGCUCGUGCCGUGAGGUGUCAGGUUAAGUCCUAUAACGAGCGCAACCCCUGUCGUUAGUUGCCAGCGAGUCAUGUCGGGAACUCUAACGAGACUGCCAGUGUAAACUGUGAG
rnacentral:rRNA from 1 species